rnacentral:rRNA from 1 species
CUACGGGGUGCUGCAGGCGAGAAAACUUUGCAAUGUGCGAAAGCACGACAAGGUUAAUCCGAGUGGUUUGUGCUAAACGAACCUUUUGACAGUCCUAGAAACACUGAUGAAUAAGGGGUGGGCAAGUUCUGGUGUCAGCCGCCGCGGUAAAACCAGCACCUUAAGUGGUCAGGAUGAUUAUUGGGCCUAAAGCAUCCGUAGCCGGCUCUGUAAGUUUUCGGUUAAAUCUGUACGCUCAACGUACAGGCUGCCGGGAAUACUGCAGAGCUAGGGAGUGGGAGAGGUAGACGGUACUCGGUAGGAAGGGGUAAAAUCCUUUGAUCUAUUGAUGACCACCUGUGGCGAAGGCGGUCUACCAGAACACGUCCGACGGUGAGGGAUGAAAGCUGGGGGAGCAAACCGGAUUAGAUACCCGAGUAGUC